rnacentral:rRNA from 1 species
UACGGGGGGGGGCAAGCGUUGUUCGGAAUUACUGGGCGUAAAGGGCUCGUAGGUGGCCAACUAAGUCAGACGUGAAAUCCCUCGGCUUAACCGGGGAAUUGCGCUCGAAACUACGGAGCUGGAGUAUGGCAGAGGGAGGUGGAAUUCCACGUGUAGCGGUGAAAUGCGUAGAGAUGUGGAGGAACACCAAUGGCGAAGGCAGCCUCCUGGGCCAAUACUGACACUCAUGCACGAAAGCGUGGGGAGCAAACAGG